CGUGCCUAAUACAUGCAAGUCGAACGCAUUGUGGUUGAAAUGAUAUGAAGAACUUGUUCAGAUUUGAUUUUCAACAUUGCAAUGAGUGGCGAACGGGUGAGUAACACGUGGGAAACCUACCUCUUAGCAGGGAUAACAUUUGGAAACAAAUGCUAAUACCGUAUAAUAAUUAAAACCGCAUGGUUUUAGUUUAAAAGAUGGUCUUGCUAUCACUAAGAGAUGGUCCCGCGGUGUAUUAGUUAGUUGGUGAGGUAAUGGCUCACCAAGACAAUGAUACAUAGCCGAGUUGAGAGACUGACCGGCCACAAUGGGACUGAGACACGGCCCAUACUCCUACGGGAGGCAGCAGUAGGGAAUCUUCCACAAUGGACGAAAGUCUGAUGGAGCAACGCCGCGUGUGUGAUGAAGGGUUUCGGCUCGUAAAACACUGUUGUAAGAGAAGAAUGACAUUGAGAGUAACUGUUCAAUGUGUGACGGUAUCUUACCAGAAAGGAACGGCUAAAUACGUG
rnacentral:rRNA from 1 species